ACAAUGAAAGCAUGUUAAUUCCAUGUAAACUGCCACGCCUGCCAUUUAAGCAAUAAAUAAACUGUCAUACAAAAUUAAUAGAAACAGAGCAUAACACAUGAGCAGCUUUACUAACGAUGGCAUAGGUCAAAAUUCACAUGCAUAAGAGCAUGAAUUGCUCGUUCUGUUAUCCUUUAGAUGCACGGUGUUACCCAGCAUAUGAACCUGAGAUCUGGAUCUAAUUAGUAUUAGACAAAUCUGAAUCCGAUACCAGGCUAUUGUGUAGUCUUUCACCGUUCUUCGAAUAAUUAAUAAUUCCCAGCUUCGAUCAAAGACCGGCACACUCAUUCAAUUGCAAAACUGAAACACAAAAAAGCGAAACGUAUGUACUUAAAACGAAGCUGUCUGAUGAGAAGUCAGCCUAAUUUGUGCCCAAUAAUUCUACUUCCCAUUCAAACAUUAACAAGCAUCCAUACAAAAGUUGCAGUGUUUAUUAAGACUGAGGGCCUGCUUGGAUUGGGGAAUUUAUUGUGUGCUCCUCAAUAUUUAAGUCAUUUCACAGAAAACCUGCUCAAUUCAAGCAGAGUCGGGCAUAUGAAAUUCAUCUUGACGACCCCCUCCUCAUAUGCGAGUGAGAAGAGUGCAUACAUGUAACAACACAUGGACACAUGAAAAAAAAAUAUUUACUUGUGUGCAGGUCGAGGACAACACCGUGACAUACAGACUCACAUUCCCUAACACAACGUACUUGGAAAGUAUCUAGAAACAGACUAUCUAGUGCAUGCAUAUGUACCCAGAACAAUAAGAAAGCAGAUAACCACUGACAGCACGGACAAAUUUUGACAGAAUACAAAUGAACCGCCGAUCAACCAGACCAAUCGACUUAUCCUGCAGCACGUAGAUCAGAGCUUAAAGGGGACGAAUCCACCGACGGAGAUGACGACGAGGAAGAGCAGCACGUAGAUCAAAGCUUAAAGGGGACGAAUCCACCGGCAGAGAUGACGACGAGGAGCAGCAGGUAGUUCAGAGCUUAAAGGGGACGAAUCCACCGACGGAGAUGACGACGAGGAGCAGCAG
rnacentral:lncRNA from 1 species